rnacentral:rRNA from 1 species
AACGAACGCUGGCGGCAUGCCUAACACAUGCAAGUCGAACGAAACCUUCGGGUCUAUUGGCGCACGGGUGCGUAACGCGUGGGAACCUGCCCUUAUGUUCGGCAUAACUCCCCGACAGGGGUGCUAAUACCGGAUAAUGUCUUCUGACCAAAGAUUUAUCGCCUUUGGUUGUGCCCGCGUUGGAUUAGCUAGUUGGUAGGGUAAAAGCCUACCAAGGCGACGAUCCAUAGCUGGUCAGAGAGGAUGAUCAGCCACACUGGGACUGAGACACGGCCGAGACUCCUACGGGAGGGAGCAGUGGGGAAUAGUGGACCAUGGGCGAAAGCCUGAUCCAGCAAUGCCGCGUGAGUGAUGAAGGCCGUAGGGUUGUAAAGCUCUUUUACCCGGGAUGAUAAUGACAGUACCGGGAGAAUAAGCUCCGGCUAACUCCGUG